rnacentral:tRNA from 1 species
GGGAAGGUGGCUCAGGGGUAGAGCGUUUGCCUUGCAUGCAUGAGGCCCUGGGUUCAAUUCCUCAGCACCCA